CCACCAAGACGAUGAUCAGUAGCCGGACUGAGAGGUUGAACGGCCACAUUGGGACUGAGAUACGGCCCAGACUCCUACGGGAGGCAGCAGUCGGGAAUAUUGCGCAAUGGAGGAAACUCUGACGCAGUGACGCCGCGUGCAGGAAGAAGGUUUUCGGAUUGUAAACUGCUUUAGACAGGGAAGAAGAAGUGACAGGUACCUGUAGAAUAAGCUCCGGCUAACUAC
rnacentral:rRNA from 1 species